rnacentral:rRNA from 1 species
AUGGAGGUCGAGAUCAAGCUCCGUCUCCCCGACGCGGCUGCACACCGGCGCCUCUCCUCCUUCCUCGCGCCCCGCCUGCUCCGCACCGACGCCCCAGCGCGGCCCCUCGCCGCCGCCACCGCCGCCCAGCGGGACGUCCGCCUCUACGGCACCGACGACCGCGACCCCUCCCGCGCCGUCCUCACGCUCAAGCGCCGCCCGCGCAUCGACGCCAGCGUCAGCCGCGUUGAGGAGGUCGUGGAGCCCCUCGACCCCGCCCUCGCCCUCACCUGCGUCGACAACCCCGCCCGUCUCGACGCGGUCGACUCCCCCAUCGUCCGGCUCGUCUCCGACGAGUACGGCGUCGGCGGGGACAAAGCGCCGUUCGUCUGCCUCGGCGGCUUCCGGAACACCCGCUGUGUGUAUGAGCUCGAGGAGGGCGAGGGGCAGGGGCUCGUGCUAGACGGCAGCGGGCUGGGCCUACGUUGGCGGUGCCGGCAUUCCUCUCCUCCGACGAGCGGUAGCGGCGGCGGCACGGGACGCAGUGGGCCUGACCUGCGUCGGCGACAAUGGGGGCCCUCUCCUCCGUCGAGCGGCGGCGGCGGCGCGGGACGUAGUGGGCCCGGCCUGCAUCGGCGGUGGCGGCGGCGGGAUCCAUCUCCUCCCUCAAGCAGCGGCGGCUUGGGACACGGUGGGCUUGGCCGCAAAGAUGGAUUUCUCUGGGGCAUUCGAUUACUGGCCUCUGUUCCUCGACUCGCGCCAGGGACGCAUAUGCCCAUCCGGUCGUUCCUCCUCAUGGUCAGCGACGCAGAUGCGGCCGCUGUCAUUCCUCGCACAGCCGAAGGUUGA